rnacentral:rRNA from 1 species
GGGGAAUUUUGGACAAUGGGCGAAAGCCUGAUCCAGCCAUGCCGCGUGAGUGAAGAAGGCCUUCGGGUUGUAAAGCUCUUUUAGUCGGAAAGAAAGAGUUGCAAUGAAUAAUUGUGAUUUAUGACGGUACCGACAGAAAAAGCACCGGCUAACUACGUGCCAGCAGCCGCGGUAAUACGUAGGGUGCGAGCGUUAAUCGGAAUUACUGGGCGUAAAGGGUGCGCAGGCGGUCUUGCAAGUCAGAUGUGAAAGCCCCGGGCUUAACCUGGGAAUUGCGUCUGAAACUACAAGACUAGAGUGCAGCAGAGGGGAGUGGAAUUCCAUGUGUAGCAGUGAAAUGCGUAGAGAUGUGGAAGAACACCGAUGGCGAAGGCAGCUCCCUGGGUUGACACUGACGCUCAUGCACGAAAGCGUGGGGAGCAAACA